AGUCUCUAAGCCGCCUCAGGAAGCUGGCAGAGCGGGUGGGCGACCCUGAGCUUCGGGACAGCAUCCAGGCCUCACUGGCCAGCGUGCGAGUGCCAUUAGAACGAGUGAUGACAACACAGGGAGGAAGUGCUGCCAUGGCAACACCAUCCGCCACAUCCUCCUGCCCACCCCAACCUUCAGUCCUGUGGUGGGGCCCCAGCAGGAACAGCUACUCCAAAUCCACAAGGCCCCACCACUAUGGAACCGGUGGAAACUGAAGUGGUCUCCAGCCUGCUCUCAUCUCAAUUACCUCUGAGGUGGGAAAGAGCAACAAAAGCCAGCUAUGUUGUCCCUGAAAGGUGUCUGGGAAAAGCAGAUUUCUCAUCAUAUCCUGGUCUCUCCCAGCUGUUCCAUUCUUAGCUGCCUACAUGAGGUAGGGUUGGAGGGGUGGGUGUCAAGAGGCCAUUCUUUCCACCAGGGAUAUCUCCUGCCAGACCUCUCUGACUGCAGAGGCCACAACUGCAGACUAUAACUUGGGGAAGGAACAUUUGGUUCAGGUUCCUCAGGAGACAGUCUGAUCCCCUUCCCAUUGCCUUUCUGAGGCUACUAGUGGCCCUCUACCCUCCUGUCCCCACCCUUUGCCAAGAACAACCGCUGGCAGGUGCCUUUCCUACAGCCUCAGUGGUAGAAAGACCCAGUGGGGGCAGGAGUCCCUCCAAGGGGAGGAACUCCAAGCCCCACCCUAAUAGAGAAGAAAAGAAGGGGAGGAAAAAGGUUUAGUCCAGGUAGAGAAGCUCUGCUUAGCUCUGGAGAAGGAGGGAGUGAGGAGGCGUGGAGGCUGAAAUCUCCCAGGAGACUCCGCUCUUCAUCAGCGAUUUGUUCCAUUCCUCUAAGAGUCAGGAUUCUGUUCCCACUGAACAUCAAGGAAAACUGAGGCCACCAAAGGAAGGAAGGAAAAUCAAGGCAGAAUCAACAAAACUCCUUCACCCUCUCAGAAAAUUCAGAAAAGGCUA